UCCCAAUACUCGCCUGAUAGC
rnacentral:siRNA from 1 species